CUGACUUUCGGUGGAAUCAGUGCUUGAAGCUGUGGAGACGAAGGCCAGCGCCUGGCAGGGGGGCCACAGGGGAGGCGCGCUGUCCCCGAGGUUAGAAUUUACUAGAAAUGUCGUCCAGAGCUGAAGAACCUGAUGCAGCGGCUGGGCUGCCCUCCCUGGGACCCUAAAGGACAAAGUGGCCUGUGGCACAGCCCGUCUCCCUGCCAGUGGAUGAUAAAGAAAAGGCAUGGUGCCAGGAUCACGCUGCUCUGUAACGUGAGCGUCGGCCUCUCCAGAUGCUGCCAUCAGGGACCACAGGUGGAGGGAGAGGCCUGCACAGCCCGAGAGCACCGGCCGGGUCAGGCCUGCAGCAUCCCAACGGGCACACGGCACUUGCUGCUGCUCCGGGCCCAGGGCUCUCCUGUGGCGGUGGCGACACGGCCCGGCCACCACAGUUGGAGCUGCUGACCAUGACAUGGAGGACAUCACGAGCCUGCCCGGCCUUCCACGCCAUGCUCGCCCCCCAGCAGAACUGCCCAGCUGCACGGCUGCCAGCUUGAGGCACUCGUUGGAGAGACUGACAAUGUGCCCAGGCUUGGUUGCACUUGACAGAGGUCUGCCUGUUUUUGGAAAAGAGGGUGAAGAGCCUGUUUCCUCUGGGAUCCUGGACAUAUCUGCACGGCAGAGCCUGCACUGAUGGGAACAGCGCUCACGAACACCAGUGCUGGGACCAGGUGCCUGGGUUCCGGUCCCUGUUUGGACUCACUCGGCUGUGACAGCAGUUUGCAUUUCAGUGUAUUCUGGCAUGUAAUUCCCACCAACUCAAGGAAAUCCUGUUAGGACGUCUGUAAUUUUUCACAUUGGAACGACCAGACUCGACCACUAGGUGCUACUGAGGAUAAGAGAAGGCUGGAGCAGUCCUUUUGGGGACCUGACCUCUGAGCAAGGGCAGCAGGUGGGACGCACGUGGGAACGUCCCCCAAGGAGCUGGCUUGCUGCGUCGCAGAGGUGGCUCUUCUGCCAGCCCCAUGACAAUACCAAUCGUGACAUGAGUGGGUGAGUGCCUGACACCCCACAACGGAGGGAAAAGGAGCCCACGCUGCCACAGAAAACAGCCCAUUUUAACGUUUCGAAGUUCUUAGCAUGCUCAGGGCUUACUGUAUUCCUAGAAAAAAAA